rnacentral:rRNA from 1 species
UACAGAGGGUGCGAGCGUUAAUCGGAAUUACUGGGCGUAAAGCGCGCGUAGGCGGCUUUGCAAGUCGGAUGUGAAAUCCCUCGGCUCAACCGAGGAACUGCAUCCGAUACUGGCGGGCUUGAAUCCGGGAGAGGGAUGCGGAAUUCCAGGUGUAGCGGUGAAAUGCGUAGAUAUCGGAAGGAACAUCAGUGGCGAAAGCGACUUCCUGGACCAAUACUGACGCUCAUGUGCGAAAGCGUGGGGAGCAAACAGG